ensembl:lncRNA
UGACCCCCUCAGAAGGCUCUGUAUCCUAGAAGCAUGUGUCUAAAUACAAAACAAAUGGAAACAUUUAGGACUACGGAACGGUUUUAAGGCCAUAGAUGAAGCCAAGAGAGGGGCCAGCCCUGGCUGUUUUGAGGGUGGUGGUACACCGUGUGGUGUAUUUUGAAAGAUCACAGAGUGCAUUCCUGCUCAUGGCAAUCCCUAAGGAGAGAGACAUUGACUGGCCCUGUGCUUUCCUGCAAGAAGUAACCAUUUUUGGGGCAGGAUGUAUGUGAUGGUGAGGACAGUAGGUCUUUUCUACCCCAGCUCCUGAGAACUGGCUUUGCUGAGAGGCAUCAAAAAAGGGGGUGGAAUAGAUUUUCCUCCAGUUCUCCAGAAUGAGGUCUUAAUAGUUCAGAUUAUUUUAUGCAUACAUGUACCUGCUGUUAGCAGCUUCAGCGACUACAACUGCAAGCACUCGACUUCAUUUCUUUGCAAAGUGGAUACUUAUCUCCUACCCAUUUUGAGACUAUUAUCAGCAAACAGUGAGUAAGCGUUCCCAGUUCGUGGACUUCUACUGUUUCACCUCCUCAGCUGUGGCCAGCAAGUUGAAUUUAUGCAUGCUCUUUGAGUAACCUCGAAAAUGAAACAUGACUGUGAAAGUCAAUGGGAAACCACUUUCUGACUACAAAAAUGUAAACCUUUGUCUUUUUUUAACAUAACUGCUCCUUUAUUAAAGAUCUAAUUUUUUUUUUUACACAUCAAGUGCACUUUUUAUGCACGAAGAGCCCUCUUUAAUAGCAAAAUAAACACACUAAAGAAAAACCACAACUGAUGAUUUUAAGAGAAUGACUCUAUACUGUAGUCAAAGGAGAUUUUCACAUAGACUUAUUCUGAACAAAAUGCCUCAGGAGUACAUUGUCAACUUUCACUGAAGUGUGAAAACCUGUAGGCAUUAUUAAACCUCUCUUAUGAUGAUCCUUAAGAUUACAAGCCAAAAAAAGAAAAGAAAAAAGAAGUAAGAAAAAAAAGAAGAAGAAAAGAUAUGUUUCAGCUCACCACCUGAUACUGAGCAACAUCAGAGAAACAGGCAGCUCUGCCUGGAGGCUGCCAUCCCCUCACAGAGAUCUUGAAAGCAGAAAUGGUAAGACACGGACAACAUCAGAAGCCUCGCAACAGGGGACGCUCCCAGCAGAGGCAAAGAGGCAAAGGCAGGAGACAAAGAAGGAGGCAAAGGAGAAAGACAAGGACAAGAGCAGGCAAGAAAUACCAUUGCAGAAGACGAGUGUUUUACUGAGAUCCGGCCUCCUCUGCCAUACGUUGCAGCAUCAACUGCAUGACAAACAAUUCUG